UAUUUUUUUCGCAUUGUUCUUCCAUCACGAUAUAAUGAAGUAUACAUACGGGGUUAACGACGAAAGUAUCGUAUAAAGUGUUGCGCGAUCGUGUGUUCGUGACUGUGUUGUGCGUGUGUGCAUAAGGAUGGAAUCUGGAGGAGGCCUGGGAGGCAUUAGGCGACGGUGGAGCAACCAUGAGGUCAACAUAAACGCAACUCCACCGCUGCGUAUUAUUUUUUUCGAUCUUCGUGGGAGGCUGCGCAGCGCGUAAAGAUAAACAUCCAUACGCAAGAAUAACAUCUUCUAGAUCCCUCUAAUCACAACACUCAGAGGAUACUCCGUACAUAAACGAGGAACAUGGGUAAGAAAACACUUUUGAUAGAGCCAUCGGAAAAAUGAGAGAGCGGCCUGGCAAUUCAUCAAGGAAGAUCAUUAUUCGUGAUAACAGAGAAAACUGGAUCGCACAUAUAACAAGGGUAAACGCAACACGCUGGGAAAUGUGUAUAAAAAAAAAGGGAAAGAAAGGAGCUAACAACCUUGAUCAGCUCUCACGUGCAGCAAAAUUUACAUGGACGUGGAGAGAGAUGGAGGGUCCCGGAGGUUCAAUUACGAGAUUGCCAAUAUGCAAGCGACAUGGCGGUGGCGGCCAUCGCUUUGGCUGAUGAGGCUAAUGGAUGGUUGAAACCUGAGAAGAACGGCAAAGAGGAAAAAGAGGCCAAGGGAGAGGCCCCUGACAGCCACUAAGUGCGCUCCGUCCUUCUCCACCCUUCCCCAAUUCCCCCUUCCUUUCUCAUCCUUUCGGUCCCAGCCCUGUUCUCUCUCGCCUCUGCAACACUCUGCCCGCUGCGGAUGCCCUUAUGUGAAACCUAAUCACUUUUAGCGCGCGUCACGGAUAUUUCGUAUUAUGUCUACAUUGCGUUCUCCGGUAUCGGCUGACUUUAUCAGCCGUCUCUCUACAGUUCAACCUUUUCCUCAUCUCCCUUCAUCCCCUUCGUUCAUAGAAUCAAGUCGCGCAAACCUUAAUCGGUUGAUGCGUUUCUCAAGGAUAGAUCAUGGAGCCAAUUUUUGAAAAAAAAACGUUAAAAAAAUCU